rnacentral:rRNA from 1 species
CCGGCACGGUGAGUAACACGUAUCCAACCUGCCGUCUACUCUUGGCCAGCUCUGAAGAAGAUUAAUCCAGGAUGGCAUCAUGAGUUCACAUGUCCGCAUGAUUAAAGGUAUUUUCCGGUAGACGAUGGGGAUGCGUUCCAUUAGAUAGUAGGCGGGGUAACGGCCCACCUAGUCAACGAUGGAUAGGGGUUCUGAGAGGAAGGUCCCCCACAUUGGAACUGAGACACGGUCCAA